GUGAGUAAUCAGUUGUGGGUGG
rnacentral:miRNA from 1 species